rnacentral:rRNA from 1 species
GGGAUUAGAUACCCCACUAUGCUUAGCCUUAAACCUAGAUGUUGAAUUUACAAGCAACAUCCGCCAGGGUACUACAAGCGCUAGCUUAAAACCCAAAGGACUUGACGGUGUCUCAGACCCACCUAGAGGAGCCUGUUCUAGAACCGAUAAUCCCCGUUAAACCUCACCACCCCUUGUUUCCUCCGCCUAUAUACCGCCGUCGCAAGCUUACCCUGUGAAGGUCUAAUAGUAAGCAAAACGGGUAAAUCCCAAAACGUCAGGUCGAGGUGUAGCUUACGAGGUGGGAAGAAAUGGGCUACAUUUUCUAUGCCAGAAUAAUACGAACAGCACCAUGAAAUUAGUGCUCGAAGGUGGAUUUAGUAGUAAAAAACAAAUAGAGAGUCUUUUUGAACCAGGCUCUGAGACGCGCACACACCGCCC